rnacentral:rRNA from 1 species
AUUGAACGCUGGCGGCAGGCCUAACACAUGCAAGUCGAACGGUAACAGGAAACAGCUUGCUGUUUCGCUGACGAGUGGCGGACGGGUGAGUAAUGUCUGGGAAACUGCCUGAUGGAGGGGGAUAACUACUGGAAACGGUAGCUAAUACCGCAUAACGUCGCAAGACCAAAGAGGGGGACCUUCGGGCCUCUUGCCAUCGGAUGUGCCCAAAUGGGAUUAGCUAGUAGGUGGGGUAACGGCUCACCUAGGCGACGAUCCCUAGCUGGUCUGAGAGGAUGACCAGCCACACUGGAACUGAGACACGGUCCAGACUCCUACGGGAGGCAGCAGUGGGGAAUAUUGCACAAUGGGCGCAAGCCUGAUGCAGCCAUGCCGCGUGUAUGAAGAAGGCCUUCGGGUUGUAAAGUACUUUCAGCGGGGAGGAAGGGAGUAAAGUUAAUACCUUUGCUCAUUGACGUUACCCGCAGAAGAAGCACCGGCUAACUCCGUG